GCAGGUAACGCAGGUGAGCAGUCGCACCCGGCACACGCAUCGGGCCGGGCCGCAUGCGUUAUGUGCUCUACACGCUACCUAAGUAAUACGUUACGUUGUGCAGUGCUGUAAAGUAAUUGCUUAAGUUUACAAGUGUUACUGAACGUGGGUGAGGCAACGAGUUGUGUGAUGCACCAUCGAUUGAGAUUUUGCACCUGAGUCUGACAUCGAAGAAGGACCAUUUUGGCAUCAGAUUGGAUUUUGCACCUGAGUCUGACAUCGUAGAAGGACCAUUCUUGCAUCAGAUUGGAUUUUGCAUCUGAGUCUGACAUCGUAGAAGGACCAUUCUUGCAUCAGAUUGGAUUUUGCACCUGAGUCUGACAUCGUAAAAGGACCAUUCUUGCAUCAGAUUGGAUUUUGCACCUGAGUCUGACAUCGUAGAAGGACCAUUCUUGCAUCAGAUUGUCAGUAUUUAAUUCUUUUAAAUAAAUUUUGUGAUUAUUACACGAUUUGAUUCACAAAAUGUAUGCUUGUGUGUUUUCUUUAAUAAAGAAUAUUUUUAAGUUUUUCUAAUUAAAA